AUAUAACAAUUGCACUGAUGAUAAUUAGUUUACAGUUAUUACAACACAUUGAUUAAUAUUGAUAAUGGUUAUGAAAGGUGACAGUUGUUUUUCUGUGUUUAAUGUAACGCUCUGAUGAUUGUAUGACUGCAUAAACAGGUUUAUGCUGUUACCUGCUAUAAUGCAGAAGAUACUCGAGAACUUCCUCAGCCAGCUGUAUACUGUACGACACUCAGACUGAUUUUGCUGUCGGACACAAAAUCACACAUCAAAGAUAAUCUUUGGGGAUUGAAAUAAUGCCGGCUAAGGUUGUUCAGCUGGUUCUACUUGCCGUUUAUUGUUUUCGUUUUUGAAAUGAUUCAUGGUGUUUUCUCCAGUAAACACCAGUCUUCUCCUUGCAGCUACAGUAGUUCUGCAGGCCCAAAACACACGACUUUGCUUCAGCUGUUUGCAUGUCUAACAGUUGCCAUUGAUGCACCCUGUUGUUCACCAAUUGUGUGCAUUCUUUUUAAAGUUAGUAAAAAAAACUAUUGCAGGAAACAAUUUUAAGUUGUCGUAUUUAUCAUUUUCUUUGCCAUGGUACAGUCUUAAUUUUUCCAUUUAGAGGUCUUGAAAAGUUCUUAAAAGUCUUUAAAUUUGUACUUGAAAAAUGUGCAGAUACCCUGGAAUGGCCUGAUAUGAGAUAUUACAGAAAUAAACGUAUUAAAUUUCAGAAGGAAUGACAUUUCACCGAUUUUUAUGAAAUUGAAAGGCAGUCUAGCUUUAACUAUUCAUAGUAGAUUUAGUAGAAGACUUCUCGACUGCCACAUUUCGAUCUAAAUCUUUUUUUUUUUGGGUGUACAAAUUAGUGUAAACCUCACAAUUGCACAGAAAAUUGACAGGUUAAUGUAACCUACCUAAUAAUUCCCACACUUCUGCUGCCUUGCCUAGCUUCUGCCUCUUGUUUUAUACAUGAACCACUCCCAUCAAAAUCACGAAAGUCUGUUUCUGUUACAAUCUUGCUUUCCGGUCUUUCUUUCAACUCUUUCCACAAUGUAGCACAUUCCUUGAUUUUUAUUAAAACGCUUUCCACUAAAAGGAAGAACUUUGCCAUCCCUGUGUCCGAAAUAACUCACUAUAUAGAGUUCGCGGUUUUGUAGUGCUGUCCGAAUGUAUAGUAAGAAUUAUUAUACCCUAUUAUAGUGUAUCCCACAAUGCACCGUGAAAAGUAGCUGGCAUGGAUUUGUGGAAGGGGUGCCAGGUGCCGCCCCCCAUCAAUUUAUAAAAAAAAAAAAGUACGGAGAUGCCCACUUUUAUUUCUUUUUUUUUUUUAAGUUAAGAUUUUUCAAAAAUAAACCAUUAAGUGGGAUUGAGCUGAAGAGUUUAUGGUAUAAAUUUAUAUUUAAUAGUAGCUCCAAGCUUGGGUAUUUUUCGCUCAUGACAUGAAUACAGUGAAAAGUGAGCUGGGUGAGUCCUGUUGGAUUUUAACAGGGCAUGGGAACUUCGUGCAUCGACAUAACAUUGUGGGGAAAUAAGGCCAGCAGCACGGUGGUAUAGAGCAGGGAUCGACCAAUAUGUUUUUUUCAGGGCCAAUACCGAUACCGAUUAUUAUGGAAUUGGGAUGCCGAUAACCGAUAUGUGCAACCGAUAAAUGUAAACAUUAUAAUUCACAUGAAAUUAAACAUAGCACACACUGACACAGACCUUCAUGUCCAUGAAAUGUAUGUUUAAUUGUAAAAUUGAACAUGAAAUUUUGUGCAGGGAGAUGCCAGCAGCAUUUGUACAAUAAAGUCAAACAUUAGUUAGAAUAAAAUGAGAAAUAAAAUAAUAAUAAAAUAAAUAUUCACCAAUAAAAAAAUGAAUCACUCCCUACUAUAUUACAGCUCACCAUUUUCAGUGGAAAAUAAAUGAAAAUACACUCUGGAUUCUUUUACACUAAGAACUAAGUAAGACUUACCAACUUCAAGUAGUUUUUAAAUAACAAAUCAAGUGUAGGGAGCUGCCUGCAGCAUUUUUUAAAAAGUAAAAUCAAACAUAAAGUCGGCUAUCACUCCCUAUUAUGUAACAACUUAACAAGUAACCAUCUACAUUCUAAUGCUUUUAAUGCCCAAGCCUAAUAUUCCCAAUUUAGGAGGAUUAUAUUGUAGUGAAGGAAGCAUUACAUGUAGUUUCAGCGAGACUAGUUGGUUGUAGGCUAAUUCAUGUGCUUCCUUCCGUAAGCUAAGUUUGCCUGGCUACACAGAUGCAAAUGGACAAUUUUAACGAGUAGUAGAUGAAGAAUGUAAACAUAUAAUGAUGUUGUGCUUUUGCAACUUGUGUGUGUGUGUGACUUAUUUAAGUCUCGGCUGAAAACAUAUCUGUUUAGUCAAGCCUUUUGUUAAUGGUGUUUAUGAGGUAAAGGUGUAGAUCUAGAGGGUCCUCAGACAUAGAGUGUUUUGGUAAACUGGGAUGUAUGGAUGCUGUCAGUCCCCACUCGCUUGCUCACUCGAGUUUGUUGACGGUGUAGUGGCUGGCUGCUUUAUGUCCCGGGGCUCCCUCAUGGCUGUGUUACCUUCUGGCUCUCUCCUUUUAGUUAUGCUGUCAUAGUUAGUUGCCGGAGUCCCUGCUUGUACUCGGUGCAAUAUGUACACUGCUCCUACUUAUUCAGGUGACAUUGGGCAUACCUAACAACCUGUGUUUUCUUUCCCUCCCCCUCCCACCCCAAAUCUGUCCCUCUGAGUUACAUGGAGUCAACAAGAAAUCUUUUGGUGGAGAGGGUGGAGACUAGGGCUGUGCGAUGUCCCCUUAAUUGGCAUCGACGAUGUUUACAGUGCAAACAUCGUGAUGGACGAUCAUAUCGUGGGGGGGAUUUUAAUACCACAUUAUUAAAUAUAAUAUUAUUAUUAUUAUUAUUAUUAUUAUUAUUAUUAUUAAAAGUAUUAGAUACUCAUCCGAGGCUUUGGCACGUUAAGAAAAAAAAGCGCUAGGUGAUGUGGAAUAUUUGGCCUUGAUAACGGAUAUGUGGUCCAGCUGCAACAUGAUGCCCUAUAUGUCAGCUACCGUACAUUAUGUGGACCGAGAGUGGGCAAUGCAGUCCAAAUGCCUGCAGACGAGUUUCAUGCCAGAGACACAUUCAGCGGACAAUUCAGAAGACGCAUUGCGCGAGACACUUGCCGAAUGGAAAAUAGAGGAGAAAAAGAUCGCCUAUAUAACAACGGGGCGAACAUUGUCACAGCCAUCAGGCAAUUGAAAUGGCCGUGGUUAAGUUGUUUUGAGCACAAUUUGAACCUGGCCAUAACCAACUCGCUUGCGCAACAGAGGGCCAGUACAGACCGAGCGUUUGGAGUUUGCCGAGCAGUCAACACUGCGUUUGCGCACAGCUGGCUUCGGAGAAAUGAGCUGCGCAAAGCGCAGGUGGAAAUGAACCUCCCCGAGCACUCACUGGUCACGGUAAGAUAUUAAUCUGCUCUAACAAUGAAAGACUAGUAUUCAAACUAUGAGAAGAAACUACACAUAAGCUAUUACUCAUUGUUUAUUUACACCAUAUCAAUUGAAGAUGCGUUUCGGCCUUUAGUGCGCACUUGAACGCGCUAAUUUUUCCAAUUUAUUAGUGUUUGAAUUAUUGCACCAGCUUUUAAAAUCAUGAUUUAAUAUUGUUUUUUUUUUUACUGUCUUUACAUUUGUCAGAAUCACCUUCAUUCUUCCAUUUGGUUUGACAUUAUGGCUUAGAGUGGACCAUUUUGGAGUCUGAAAGUAGGCCUAUUUACCAGAUUAAAGUUAUUUGACUUCUGCCGAAGUCUGCGCUUCACUGCCGUUUGAUAAGGUGAAAUAUUUCCCGACUGUUAAUAGUGGCUAUUUGUUUGAACAACAUGACAAAUUUUACAUUAAAAGUAUAGUGUAGGCUAAAAAAUGAAGUCAAAAUUUAUUAUUAGUAGCAUACUGUAUUUGUGUAACCACGUUAUGUUCACUAGCACGUCCCUGCACCAUAGCCUACGUGAACAAGCGGUAAUAGGAUAUUACUUUAUAAUGAUUUAUAUAAUUAUGUAUUUAUAAUAUGUUAUAUAUUUAUAUAUUAAACAAAACUAACUAACUAAACUAACAAAAAACUAACUUUUUAGGUUAAAUAGGCCCAGAUGAUACCGUAUAUGCAUGAUUAUGACAGGAGGGGGCGUGGUAUCACGAUGGUGGCUCUCCAUCGUGAUGGAUGACCACCAUCGUCGAUGGACGAUGGCAUCGUCUAUCGGCACAGCCCUAGUGGAGACCUCGACUGGCUAUUGUAGCCUGCAGGGAAUCGGCCGUCAGACUUUCUGUCGCAUGUCCCAGACCCGGUGAAAUGUCACUGAAUUGUCUUGGCCAGCCCGAAGGGUCCUGUGAUCCUGUGGGUCAAUGAUGAGAUGCAGUCCAGAUGGCUGCAUCUCAUCAUUGCUGAGGAGUGUGCUCCCAUCACCCAAUCAAGCAUCCAGCCAGAGCAGGUCAUGAUAUAUUUUUUACCAUAUUAACAUGCCAUUGUUGUGUGUUAUGCCUGAUGUAAAGACUCUCGUCUCUGCGAGCCUACUACACAGAUUUAAUACUUGUCAUUUUUAGGGCAUACCUAACAACAUGUGUUUUCUUUCUCUCUCUCCCCCCCCCCCAAUCUGUCCCUCUGGGUUGCAUGUUGGUCCUGGGAUUGAGGUGCUGGCCUCUUCUGCCCCUCGGACCUGCUUGGUCCAUCCUGGUGCCCUGUGUCUGGUCGGAGUUUUAUCGCACCGCUCCUGUGAAGGACGGCCCCAUGAGGACAGUUGAGGGUUAUACCUGGAGAAUGCUCUGGACUCUUACAGUAAUGCUUUUAUGGCUGAGGACUACAGUUGUCUUGCUAACUUUAGGACUGCAGUUAUCAUGAACAGUUUUGCACUCAAGUUUCCAUCAAUAAAGAGUUAUAACAUCAACGAAACUGUCCUCAUGUUAAAACUGUUAAUAUUAUAGUCAGGCUGUCUGUUGUUGCCCAAAUGAGGAUGGGUUCCCUUUUGAGUCUGGUUCCUCUCGAGGUUUCUUCCUCAUGUCGUCUGAGGGAGUUUUUCCUUGCCACCGUCGCCACAGGCUUGCUCAUUGGGGAUAGAUGAGGGAUAAAAUUAGCUCAUGUUUUAAGUCGUUCAAAUUCUGUAAAGCUGCUUUGCGACAAUGUUUAUUGUUAAAAGCGCUAUACAAAUAAACUUGACUUGACUUAUUGCGGCAAAAGCAGCAUGUCCUUACCUUGAAGUGGGAUCUGGUUCUGCCCGAGUGCCCGUACGGCCGCCUUGAAACAGUUCACAGCGUUUAGCUACGCAUGUUGAUUGGCUGUAUCCCUUGUGCCGCUUCUGCCUGAGUGCCUGUACGGCCGCCUUGAAACAGUUCACAGCAUUUAGCUACACGUGUCGAUUGGCUAUAUCUUUUGUGCCAAACAAAUCAGAUGUUGUGGGGGGCGGGACCGUGUUCUUGAACUCAGAGACGCGAGUGCAGGAAAGUACGUGCAGUGAGAGUCGCGUUAGGAACUAAAUGGAUGCAAAAAGUCAUGUUAUCGGCAUAUCGGUGGAAAUUAUGGCCGAUACCGAUAACCCUAAAAAUGCAGAAUAUCGGCCCGAUAUAUCGGCCAGGCCGAUUAUCGGUCGACCCCUAGUAUAGAGGAUGUGCAGUCACGUGACCCGUCCGUGUUUACUCCGCCAUAUUGGACGGUUUCAGAUUUGUUUACCUUGCGAGAGCGUAAUGGAUCCAGGGAGUAAUCCCCAAGAAAAUUCGAAAAAUACCCAUCUACAUCGUGCGAUAACUUGUCUAAGUUUGUUCAGCAUCAUGAAGGUGACGUGAGGCAGCGUUACGUGGAAAAGUGUUCCAGGUUGGGGAUUGCAGAGCCGUACAACUUGCCGCAAUCCUUGUUCAGGGAAAUUCGGAGCUGCGGUGCCGGCGAUUUGCCCGAUCUGGCCUACCACGACAUUUACAAUUUUCUUGUUAAUCGUGAAUCGUGUUACACUGGCAAAGCCCUCAAAGCUUACAAGAGCCUGGAAGCUUAUAAAUAUUUUGUUGCGGGAUGGGUAUCCCAACUAUACCUCUGGAAGGUUCCGAAGAAGAAUGUCUACUUGAUAACCUCACGGGUAAGUGGCAUUAAGACGUUUAUCAUAAAGAGACUAUGCAGGACAUUUUAUCGUAAGAAUGUUCGAAAUCUAAACUCAGUUCCAGAUAAUGACAGGGUUGUAAAUAUGUAUGUUUUUGUCUGAAAAAAAAAAUCACAAAUCACCGGCUAUGCAGUUAUCAUUCAAUCCGAAAAUCAACUUAACAGAUGCACUAGGAGUAUUGAAUUAGAAGAUUACACCUACCUGAUAUGUUCACUACAAAUUCGGCUGGUAGAACUGGGGUACCAGUUUUCUCUUCGCACAGCGGACACCCAUUUUGCGCGUCUCUCCUCGUCUGCGGGGAAUCUAUAAAAUGACAGGCCCUCCUUUUGGCCCUGUCUAUUGGUACAACCAAAUGCUGAACAAGAUAUAACCAUUCUCGAAAGAUCUACUCCCACACACUUGAUAAUUAGAACGGGCUCAUCUAAGUUCUAUGCACGGCCAUGCCGUCCAAGAUGGCAGAUAAAUAGUGCAUGUGCACGCUCUCUAGUGGCUAGCACUGUCACCUCACAGCAAGAAGGUCCUGGGUUUCUUCUGUGGAGAAAGCAGUUUUUCCCACAGUCUAAAGCAGAGGUGGGCAAACUACGGCCUGCGGGCCACAUCCGGCCCGCGGAAGACAAUCAUAUAAACACGAUUGAGCAGAUCUAUAAAUUAUAAGCGUCAGUGUUAUCACGUAGACAGGUGUUCUAGAGAUCCGUCUUUCCAGUCAGUCGUAUUCACGCGAGAUUACAUUUGCAGAGUGGUGCAGCGUGUGCCAUGGAAGUCAUUCUGGCGCCCGUGCCACUGAUGAUCUGGAGAACACAGGAUAAAACUUUACAAUGAGUGGUCCUAAAAAAAGAAAAGUGGACAGUGAGUGCAGGGUGUUCAAUAAAGAAUGGACAACUAAAUAUUUUUUUGCUGAAGUCCGAUCAAAGGCUGUAUGCCUUAUUUGCAAAGAAACCGCUGCAGUUUUAAAGGAAUAUAACAUCAAACGGCACUUUUCCUCCAAGCAUGCUAAUUAUGCUAACAACCAGUCAGCGCAAGAACGGACGAAUACAGCUCAGCGGUUGCUGAGUGAAUGUGUAUUAUGAGCAGCUGACCUUGCUUCUGCUUAUAUCUGUUCCUGGACUUUUGCCUGUGGAGGUUAUUCUGAUCUAUGAGUGGCCUUUUGGAAUAUGAAAACCUGUUUGGAACCUGUGUUUUGAUUUUUUGAGGACUGGAAAUAUUUCAGUGAGUGACUUUGAACCUGAAAACCAGUUUGGAGUUUUUUGCUUUCUUGAGCUUUUUUGUUUGAUUUUGUGGGCUGGAUGGAUCCAGUGCCAAACCACUGAACUGCAAACAUGUUGGCAUGGUGUGGUACCCAAACUGUUGAACUGCAAACAUUUUGGAAUGGUGUGGUACCUCUCCUACUAAUGGUGGUUGGUUGUACUGGCAGGCUGGAAGUGGAUGGUUAAAAAAAAAAAACACUCAGGUGUAAAUCUACGAGUUCAGUGAAAUGUACAAAAAUGAUAUGUACCGAUAUGUAAUUUAGUUCAAUUUAAUGAUAUGCAAUUUAGUUGUAUGUAUAAAAUGAUACAAAUAUACAAAUACACUGGCAUCCUACUCAUCCUGGCAGCUCAAAGAUGUAAUUUAAGAAUUAAGUGUGCUACUUUUCUUACUGUCACGUGUGUGUGUGUGUUACUUUUCUGGAUGGAUCCAGUGCCAAUCUAUUGAACUGCAAGCAUUUUUCUGCUCUGCCUUUGUUGACUGAGAACUAAAAUAAAUGUCAAUCUGAUCUGCA